rnacentral:rRNA from 1 species
UACGUAGGGCGCGAGCGUUAUCCGGAAUUAUUGGGCGUAAAGAGCUCGUAGGCGGUUUGUCGCGUCUGCCGUGAAAGUCCGGGGCUCAACUCCGGAUCUGCGGUGGGUACGGGCAGACUAGGGUGAUGUAGGGGAGACUGGAAUUCCUGGUGUAGCGGUGAAAUGCGCAGAUAUCAGGAGGAACACCGAUGGCGAGGGCAGGUCUCUGGGCAUUAACUGACGCUGAGGAGCGAAAGCAUGGGGAGCGAACAGG